rnacentral:rRNA from 1 species
ACGAACGCUGGCGGCAUGCCUAACACAUGCAAGUCGAACGUGAUCCGGGGCUUCGGCUCCGGUGAAAGUGGCGGACGGGUGAGUAACGCGUGGGAACCUGCCCAGUGGUAGGGGAUAACCGCGGGAAACUGCGGCUAAUACCCUAUGCGCCCUAUGGGGCAAAGAUUUAUCGCCAUUGGAGGGGCCCGCGUCGGAUUAGGUAGUUGGUGAGGUAACGGCUCACCAAGCCUUCGAUCCGUAGCUGGUCUGAGAGGAUGAUCAGCCACACUGGGACUGAGACACGGCCCAGACUCCUACGGGAGGCAGCAGUGGGGAGUAUUGGACAAUGGGGGCAACCCUGAUCCAGCAAUGCCGCGUGAGUGAUGAAGGCCUUAGGGUUGUAAAGCUCUUUCGGCGGGGAAGAUGAUGACGGUACCCGCAGAAGAAGCCCCGGCUAACUUCGUGCCAGCCGCCGCGGUAAUU